GCAUACGUCAGUGCUUCAUUGUCAUAUUUAUCCUGAUACCAGAUUCGAAUUGACGCCACCCUGACAAUUGGUGACCCCGAACGUGAUCUGGUGAAGGACUUCGCUGGACAUUGAUGUGCCAGCCGAUUGGCCAGUACUGUCGUCGGACGGUGUGUCUCACAAAUCCUGACCGGUCAACUAAAAAAGGCACUUACACCCUCGGACUACAAAGGACCGGGACAGACACGAUGGGUGUGUUUUCUAUUAAGGUGCUGCCAAAACCACAGAGGUCCCAGACGAACCAGAGCCAGACACACUCCUCUACCACCCCUGGACCGAGCCUGCCACCCACCACCACUGUGUCAAAUCCCAUUCAGUUGCAGGUCUAAACCAAACUAGUGGUCUGGCUGAUGUGUGGUGGAAAUGUGGACCCAAAAGAGUACUGAGACCCAUUCUUAGAGGAGACUGGCAAGG